CUACGGGCGGCUGCAGUGAGGAAUAUUGGUCAAUGGGCGAGAGCCUGAACCAGCCAAUCCGCGUGCAGGAUGACGGCCCUAUGGGUUGUAAACUGCUUUUGUAUGGGAAGAACUCCCUGACGUGUCAGGGGCUGACGGUACCAUACGAAUAAGCAUCGGCUAACUCCGUGCCAGCAGCCGCGGUAAUACGGAGGAUGCGAGCGUUAUCCGGAUUUAUUAGGUUUAAAGGGUGCGUAGGCUGAAUAGUCAGUCAGUGGUGAAAUCCUACGGCUUAACCGUAGAACUGCCAUUGAUACUGCUAUUCUUGAGUACAGUUGAGGUAGGCGGAAUGUGUAGUGUAGCGGUGAAAUGCUUAGAUAUUACACAGAACACCGAUUGCGAAGGCAGCUUACUAAACUGUCACUGACGCUGAGGCACGAAAGCGUGGGGAGCGAACAGGAUUAGAUACCCUAGUAGUC
rnacentral:rRNA from 1 species